GACGAACGCUGGCGGCGUGCUUAACACAUGCAAGUCGAACGGUGAAGCGCCUUCCUUUUUGGUGGGUGUGGAUGAGUGGCGAACGGGUGAGCAACACGUGAGUAACCUGCCCCCCUCUUCUGGAUAACCGCAUGAAAGUGUGGCUAAUACGGGAUAUUCUGGGUCUGUCGCAUGAUGGGUCUGGGAAAGAUAUUGUUUCGGUGGGGGAUGGGCUCGCGGCCUAUCAGCUUGUUGGUGGGGUGAUGGCCUACCAAGGCGGUGACGGGUAGCCGGCCUGAGAGGGUGGACGGUCACACUGGGACUGAGACACGGCCCAGACUCCUACGGGAGGCAGCAGUGGGGAAUAUUGCACAAUGGGCGCAAGCCUGAUGCAGCGACGCCGCGUGAGGGAUGGAGGCCUUCGGGUUGUGAACCUCUUUCGCCAGUGAAGCAGGCCUGCCUCGUUUGUGGGUGGGUUGACGGUAGCUGGAUAAGAAGCGCCGGCUAACUACGUG
rnacentral:rRNA from 1 species